rnacentral:rRNA from 1 species
CCUACGGGUGGCAGCAGUGGGGAAUAUUGGGCAAUGGGCGCAAGCCUGACCCAGCAACGCCGCGUGAAGGAAGAAGGCUUUCGGGUUGUAAACUUCUUUUCUCAGGGACGAAGCAAGUGACGGUACCUGAGGAAUAAGCCACGGCUAACUACGUGCCAGCAGCCGCGGUAAUACGUAGGUGGCAAGCGUUAUCCGGAUUUACUGGGUGUAAAGGGCGUGUAGGCGGGAAAGCAAGUCAGAUGUGAAAACCAUGGGCUCAACCUGUGGCCUGCAUUUGAAACUGUUUUUCUUGAGUGCUGGAGAGGCAGACGGAAUUCCAGGUGUAGCGGUGAAAUGCGUAGAUAUUAGGAGGAACACCAGUGGCGAAGGCGGUCAGCUGGACAGCAACUGACGCUGAGGCGCGAAAGCGUGGGGAGCAAACAGGAUUAGAUACCCUAGUAGUC